rnacentral:rRNA from 1 species
UACGGAGGGAGCUAGCGUUGUUCGGAAUUACUGGGCGUAAAGCGCGCGCAGGCGGUCUUCCAAGUCAGUGGUGAAAGCCUGGAGCUCAACUCCAGAACUGCCAUUGAAACUGUUAGACUUGAGUACGAGAGAGGUGAGUGGAAUUCCCAGUGUAGAGGUGAAAUUCGUAGAUAUUGGGAAGAACACCAGUGGCGAAGGCGGCUCACUGGCUCGUAACUGACGCUCAGGCGCGACAGCGUGGGGAUCAAACAGG